AUUGAACGCUGGCGGAAUGCUUUACACAUGCAAGUCGAACGGCAGCACGGGGCAACCUGGUGGCGAGUGGCGAACGGGUGAGUAAUACAUCGGAACGUGCCCAAUCGUGGGGGGAUAACGUAGCGAAAGUUACGCUAAUACCGCAUACGAUCUACGGAUGAAAGCGGGGGAUCGCAAGACCUCGCGCGAAUGGAGCGGCCGAUGUCAGAUUAGGUAGUUGGUGGGGUAAAGGCUCACCAAGCCAACGAUCUGUAGCUGGUCUGAGAGGACGACCAGCCACACUGGAACUGAGACACGGUCCAGACUCCUACGGGAGGCAGCAAUGGGGAAUUUUGGACAAUGGGCGCAAGCCUGAUCCAGCCAUUCCGCGUGCAGGAUGAAGGCCUUCGGGUUGUAACUGCUUUGUACGGUACGAACGGACGAGCUCUAAUACAGUUUGCUAAUGACGGUACCGUAACGAAUAAGACACCGGCUAACUACGUAGCCAGCAGCCGCGGUAAU
rnacentral:rRNA from 1 species